rnacentral:rRNA from 1 species
ACGUUAGCGGCGGACGGGUGAGUAACACGUGGAUAACCUACCUAUAAGACUGGGAUAACUUCGGGAAACCGGAGCUAAUACCGGAUAAGAUUUUGAACCGCAUGGUUCAAUAGUGAAAGACGGCCUUGCUGUCACUUAUAGAUGGAUCCGCGCCGUAUUAGCUAGUUGGUAAGGUAACGGCUUACCAAGGCAACGAUACGUAGCCGACCUGAGAGGGUGAUCGGCCACACUGGAACUGAGACACGGUCCAGACUCCUACGGGAGGCAGCAGUAGGGAAUCUUCCGCAAUGGGCGAAAGCCUGACGGAGCAACGCCGCGUGAGUGAUGAAGGUCUUCGGAUCGUAAAACUCUGUUAUCAGGGAAGAACAAACGUGUAAGUAACUGUGCACGUCUUGACGGUACCUGAUCAGAAAGCCACGGCUAACUACGUGCCAGCAGCCGCGGUAAUACGUAGGUGGCAAGCGUUAUCCGGAAUUAUUGGGCGUAAAGCGCGCGUAGGCGGUUUUUUAAGUCUGAUGUGAAAGCCCACGGCUCAACCGUGGAGGGUCAUUGGAAACUGGAAAACUUGAGUGCAGAAGAGGAAAGUGGAAUUCCAUGUGUAGCGGUGAAAUGCGCAGAGAUAUGGAGGAACACCAGUGGCGAAGGCGACUUUCUGGUCUGUAACUGACGCUGAUGUGCGAAAGCGUGGGGAUCAAACAGGAUUAGAUACCCUGGUAGUCCACGCCGUAAACGAUGAGUGCUAAGUGUUAGGGGGUUUCCGCCCCUUAGUGCUGCAGCUAACGCAUUAAGCACUCCGCCUGGGGAGUACGACCGCAAGGUU